AAAAAGAGUAUUUGUAGCAUCAAAGUCUCUGAGAAAAUAAACCUAGGAAGAAUGUUUUAUCAGAGCACCAAAGAGGGUUAGUCACAGGUUUUUCCCAGGGUUAACCAUCUGCAAAUGGUCGGCGUGGCAGAUUAGAAGUGAAGGGCGUGCUCCUGGGCGAGAGAGGAGAGAGUAGAUGAGAGAGCGGCCCUAAUGCGGCAUCUCAUUACAACCUCUGUCAGGAUCCCUCUAUUCUACCAUCAUCUCCCCUUAACUUGGUAAAAGCCCAACUGUCGCUUCGAGUCCACCUCCUGGUCGGCGGGGAUAGGUUCUGGCAGGUUCAGGCCCUCUGUUUGUCUCCCAGGGAUCACAUGGGAUUGCAGCCAACUGGUGCAGAAGAAGAAGAAGAAGACAGGAAAUCCCAA